UUUCCGUAGGUGAACCUGCGGAAGGAUCAUUACCGAGUGAGGGCCCUCUGGGUCCAACCUCCCACCCGUGUUUAUUGUACCUUGUUGCUUCGGCGGGCCCGCCUCACGGCCGCCGGGGGGCUUCUGCCCUCUGGCCCGCGCCCGCCGAAGACACCAUUGAACACUGUCUGAAGAUUGCAGUCUGAGCAAUUAGCUAAAUAAGUUAAAACUUUCAACAACGGAUCUCUUGGUUCCGGCAUCGAUGAAGAACGCAGCGAAAUGCGAUACGUAAUGUGAAUUGCAGAAUUCAGUGAAUCAUCGAGUCUUUGAACGCACAUUGCGCCCCUUGGUAUUCCGGGGGGCAUGCCUGUCCGAGCGUCAUUGCUGCCCUCAAGCACGGCUUGUGUGUUGGGCCCCGUCCUCCUUCCCGGGGGACGGGCCCGAAAGGCAGCGGCGGCACCGCGUCCGGUCCUCGAGCGUAUGGGGCUUUGUCACCCGCUCUUGUAGGCCCGGCCGGCGCUUGCCGACAACCAUCAAUUUUCUCAGGUUGACCUCGGAUCAGGUAGGGAUACCCGCUGAACUUAAGCAUAUCAAUAAGCGG
rnacentral:rRNA from 1 species